GAAAUGCGAUAAGUAAUGUGAAUUGCAGAAUUCAGUGAAUCAUCGAAUCUUUGAACGCACAUUGCGCCCCCUGGUAUUCCGGGGGGCAUGCCUGUUCGAGCGUCAUUACAACCAAUCCAGCCCGGCUGGGUGUUGGGCGUCGCGGCCUGCCGCGCGCCUCAAAGUCCUCGGCGGAAGCCGCCCGUUCCUCUGCGUGAUGAUCCAUCGCCGCUUGGGAGUCGGGGGCGAGCGCCUGCACGCGUCGACGGAGACGUCGACUUCAAGGUUGACCUCGGAUCAGGUAGGGAUACCCGCUGAACUUAA
rnacentral:misc_RNA from 1 species